AUGAUUUUAUUGAUUUGACUAUGAAAUAAGUAAAUAAUUUAUUUUUAGGCUGAUGUUAAUAACUAACGUCUUUUACAAGUAAGAAAAAUAUAAACAUAGAUAUAAUAAAAAAUUACUUUAAAUAGAUCUAAUUUAACGAUAAGUUUGGGAGGUCAUCACAUUUGUUGUGCAUUGAAUCAAAUAUGCACUUCACAAUUCAAGCUAUCUUUAUUUACAUAUUUUACUGAUGCCAAUUUGAUUAUGGACAAUGUGAAUGUUAAUCUAUACGAUUGUUUCAGAUUCUGGAAAGACACUGAACCAGCCCUGGGAAUCAGUUACAAUUGUUGAUGACAAUACAAGAAAGAAACUUAAUGAAAUAGAACCUCACGGAAGUGAUCUUGCCAGCCAUGAUGGAGUAUGAUUCGAUCCCUCGUAGCAUAUGAAAAUUGAAAGUACCACAUUACUUCACUUCUUUUACAAAUACAUAUGUGUUCUGUUCCAUUUCAUUCUAUAUAAUUCUAGCCAACUGCUCAAAUUUAAGUGCUAUGCAUAUUCUUCUGGAUGAUGAUUGAUGUGUUCCUGAACAACAUUAAUAUGUGAUGUACAUAUUUGAUUGAUGGUCAAAGUUUUUGUUCAUUUUUUUCUCUCUUGGUAGAGGGCUUCUGAUGAAUGGAAUUUGUUGGUUGUUGCUCUUAUGCUUGACCCCCUGCUUAACACUAUUCCUAUUAGUUGUCUAUGAAAGGUCUGGUAACAAAAUUGAGGAAAUUGCACCAAAAUAAUGAUGAUGAUGAUCAAAACAUGUCAAUCUAUAAAUCCACCAGGUACACUAUCUUUCCAAGCUUAUCUUAACAGUUUUAACCAUUAAUGGUACGCAAUAACAGUUAUGGCUUUGCUUCAUAAAUUCUACUAUCGAAGUUUUCAUACUGUCAUAAAUUUCAAAAUGCAGAUUUUUUGAGCUUUCUUGAGAAAACUUGUUAGUUUCAAGACAUGCCAAGUGAUGUCGUACCUUAUUAUCUAUUUUUAAGCUUUUGUGGUUCAUUAUCGCAGAGUUCUGGAAAAGAUAAGAGUUAAAAGAUCAGUUGAGGAUGAUUUAGUGAAACAGCUAAUAGAGUUAUCUAUGAAGACGCAUUAUACACAUUGGAUGCCAAAAGACAAGAAACUAAAAGAUUGCAGAUGGGAUUAUGUAUGUUACUUUAUUACCCAUAUAUGGUCUGUAGAAAUCAAAUCUUAAUCCCUCUUACCUUAUGUAUCAAAUAACCAAUCUGCAGGAGGAUUACCUCUGCCCGAAUCACAAUGCUGAUAAAUUACUGAGGCAGCAAUCCUAAUCUAGAAUGUUUGGGAGUGAAGUGAAGGAUUCCAUGCCGGCUCAAAUGUAUGGAGAUCUUUUUAUUGUUAUCCUUUUAUGAGUUGACCUCUUAUCCAGCAGUUAGUAAUCUAAUUAUUCUCCUGAACAUAUGGUUUAUUUUGGUAAAAUCUUACUAGACUCAUUUCCAAACUUUUGUUCACUUGUUUUACUCAAGGUGUAGGACAAGAAAAGAGAUAUGUUGCCUUCAUGCCCUGAUGUGUCCAUGCUUUUUGCCUAAUACUGGGGAAUUGGGUCACAAAUCUUAGUCUGAAG
rnacentral:lncRNA from 1 species